AAUCCAUAGGUUAAUGAGGCGAACCGGGGGAACUGAAACAUCUAAGUACCCCGAGGAAAAGAAAUCAACCGAGAUUCCCCCAGUAGCGGCGAGCGAACGGGGAGGAGCCCAGAGCCUGAAUCAGCAUGUGUGUUAGUGGAAGCGUCUGGAAAGGCGCGCGAUACAGGGUGACAGCCCCGUACACAAAAGCGCAUGUGCUGUGAGCUCGAUGAGUAGGGCGGGACACGUGGUAUCCUGUCUGAAUAUGGGGGGACCAUCCUCCAAGGCUAAAUACUCCUGACUGACCGAUAGUGAACCAGUACCGUGAGGGAAAGGCGAAAAGAACCCCGGCGAGGGGAGUGAAAAAGAACCUGAAACCGUGUACGUACAAGCAGUGGGAGCCCCACCACCAAAGCGUUUCGCUUUGUGUGGUGCACAAAGAAGCGUAACGACAGCACUGAAUGACGGUUAACGGAGCGCAAGCGACGUUCAACAUACAAAGUCAAGCAGUGGAGCGCUUUGGGGUGGGGUGACUGCGUACCUUUUGUAUAAUGGGUCAGCGACUUAUAUUCUGUAGCAAGGUUAACCG
rnacentral:rRNA from 1 species